rnacentral:lncRNA from 1 species
UGCGGAGGCAGCGGCGGAGCCGGCGAAUCUUGGACCGGGCCUGGGGCUGGGACACGCCGGUCGGUUCCCCGAGAACCCCUCGCCUAAAGGGUGCUCUUCCCGAGCCCGCCCUCUCCCUGCUAUCCCGUUAAGCCCUCUCCAGUGGUCCCGGUGCCUUGCUAAUCCACGGGGCCCUAGGACGAUCCGGCCGUGUCCCACACCCUCGCACUCACGCACCUCGGGGACGACUAGCCGGGUCAGACCCUCGCAGACGUCCAGAUCAGAAAUAAGGGCUUGCGUCUGGACCCUCCUCCCUCCGCGGCCUUGCAGACAUCUGCGAGCCCCAGGCAGAGCUCUGCCCUGAGACCCGGGCCACGGGGGGACCCUGCCGGCGGCUCCGCCCCCUGGAGGGCCCCGCUUACCACAGACACAGAGGCACAAAGGACAUGAUUUCCCCUUUUUGGUUCCACCGGUGGUGUCAGGCCGAGAGGCGGCGGGCUUGGCAUUGGGAUGUACGGCCUGCCAGGCUCCCCUUGCAGCGUUAACCGAGCUCUACUGUUCGUCCUGGGUCCCCGCAACCCGCCCCAGCUGCAGCCACAGCCUCCUGAUCCUCUGACCCAUUCUUCAUGACACAAGCAGAAAUCUCAUGUGAUCAGAAGAAAGCUACCCUUAAAGCCAUUCAGAUACCAUCCUAGACGAAAAAAGGCCCCCCGCCCCAUCAGGGUCUUGGAUGAUCCUGCCACUGAACAUGGAUUUUGAGAGAGCGGAGAGCUUUCUGGACCUUGAAGAUGGCAACUUAGCAGCCCUUAUUCAGAGAGAGCUUUCUGGACAGCUUCAACUUCUUCCUGCUGGAUCUCCUGGUUUCCCGUACCCCACCCUCAUCAGUUUCAAUUUUCCAGUGGCCUGGGGGACUGUCUCCUCUGUAAACAUGUUCCAUGAUGUCUGUCUCACUGCCCACAGAGCCAAAAGUGCAGUGCCAGGAGCAUGGUAAGCAAACUGCACUGGAUGGUAG